AGAGCGAACGCUGGCGGCAGGCCUAACACAUGCAAGUCGAACGGACUCUUCGGAGUUAGUGGCGGACGGGUGAGUAACACGUGGGAACGUGCCUUUUGGUUCGGAAUAGCUCCUGGAAACGGGUGGUAAUGCCGAAUGUGCCCUUCGGGGGAAAGAUUUAUCGCCAUUAGAGCGGCCCGCGUCUGAUUAGCUAGUUGGUGAGGUAAAGGCUCACCAAGGCGACGAUCAGUAGCUGGUCUGAGAGGAUGACCAGCCACAUUGGGACUGAGACCACGGCCCCAAACUCCUACGGGAGGCAGCAGGUAGGGGAAUCGUUGCGCAAGUGGGACGAAAGCCUAGACGCAGCCAUCGCCGCGUGAAUGAAGUGGAAGGUAUAGUAUUAGUAAAUUCUUACGACGGGACGUAUAAUGACGGUACCGGAAGAAGAACGGUCCCGGACUAACCGUUACGUCGACCGAAGCCGAACGCCGGACCGGUAA
rnacentral:rRNA from 1 species